rnacentral:rRNA from 1 species
AGCGAACGCUGGCGGCAGGCCUAACACAUGCAAGUCGAACGAACCUUUCGGGGUUAGUGUCGUACGGGUGAGUAACACGUGGGAACGUUCCUUUAGGGUCGGAAUAACUCAGGGAAACUUGUGCUAAUACCGAAUGUGCCCUUCGGGGGGAAGAUUUAUCGCCUUUAGAGCGGCCCGCGUCUGAUUAGCUAGUUGUUUGAGUUAAUGGCUCACCAAGGCGACGAUCAGUAGCUGGUCUGAGAGGAUGAUCAGCCACAUUGGGACUGAGACACGGCCCAAACUCCUACGGGAGGCAGCAGUGGGGAAUCUUGCGAAAUGGGCGAAAGCCUGACGCAGCCAUGCCGCGUGAAUGAUGAAGGUAUUAGGAUUGUAAAAUUCUUUCACCGGGGACGAUAAUGACGGUACCCGGAGAAGAAGCCCCGGCUAACUUCGUG